GGGAUAUUGCGCAAUGGGCGAAAGCCUGACGCAGCGACGCCGCGUGGGUGAUGAAGGGUUUCGGCUCGUAAAGCCCUUUUCUGUGUGACGAUAGUGACGGUAGCACAGGAAUAAGUGUCGGCUAACUACGUGCCAGCAGCCGCGGUAAAACGUAGGACGCAAACGUUAUCCGGAGUUACUGGGCGUAAAGGGCGCGCAGGCGGAUCAGUAAGUGAGGCAUGAAAGCCUCAGGCUAAACCUGAGGAGGCUGUCUGAGACUGCUGAUCUAGAGUACGAUAGAGGGGUGUAGAAUUCCGCGUGUAGUGGUGAAAUGCGUAGAGAUGCGGAGGAAUACCAGUGGCGAAGGCGGCACCCUGGAUCGAAACUGACGCUGAGGCGCGAAAGCAUGGGUAGCGAAC
rnacentral:rRNA from 1 species